GAUGAACGCUGGCGGCGUGCCUAAUACAUGCAAGUCGAGCGAACAGACGAGGAGCUUGCUCCUUUGACGUUAGCGGCGGACGGGUGAGUAACACGUGGGUAACCUACCUAUAAGACUGGGAUAACUUCGGGAAACCGGAGCUAAUACCGGAUAAUAUUUCGAACCGCAGGGUUCGAUAGUGAAAGAUGGCUUUGCUAUCACGUAUAGAUGGACCUGCGCCGUAUUAGCUAGUUGGUAAGGUAACGGCUUACCAAGGCAACGAUACGUAGCCGACCUGAGAGGGUGAUCGGCCACACUGGAACUGAGACACGGUCCAGACUCCUACGGGAGGCAGCAGUAGGGAAUCUUCCGCAAUGGGCGAAAGCCUGACGGAGCAACGCCGCGUGAGUGAUGAAGGUCUUCGGAUCGUAAAACUCUGUUAUUAGGGAAGAACAAACGUGUAAGUAACUGUGCACGUCUUGACGGUACCUAAUCAGAAAGCCACGGCUAACUACGUG
rnacentral:rRNA from 1 species